rnacentral:rRNA from 1 species
GGGGCGCAGCAGGCGCGAAACCUUUGCAAUGUGCGAAAGCACGACAAGGUUAAUCCGAGUGUCUUCUGCUAAAGAAGUCUUUUGUUAGUCAUAGAACCACUGAUGAAUAAGGGGUGGGCAAGUUCUGGUGUCAGCCGCCGCGGUAAAACCAGCACCUCGAGUGGUCAGGAGGUUUAUUGGGCCUAAAGCAUCCGUAGCCGGUUGUUUAAGUUUUCGGUUAAAUCUAUGCGCUUAACGUAUAGGCUGCCGAAAAUACUGGACAGCUAGGGAGUGGGAGAGGUACACGGUACUCAAUAGGAAGGGGUAAAAUCCUUUGAUCUGUUGAUGACCACCUGUGGCGAAGGCGGUGUACCAGAACACGUUCGACGGUGAGGGAUGAAAGCUGGGGGAGCAAACCGGAUUAGAUACCCGGGUAGUCCCAGCUGUAAACGAUGCAAACUCGGUGAUGCAUUGGCUUGUGGCCAAUGCAGUGCCGCAGGGAAGCCGUUAAGUUUGCCGCCUGGGAAGUACGUACGCAAGUAUGAAACUUAAAGGAAUUGGCGGGGGAGCACCACAAGGGGUGAAGCCUGCGGUUCAAUUGGAUUCAACGCCGGGAAUC